ensembl:lncRNA
CAGGAAUUAAAAAGAAUGCCUUUGGGGAAAAAGGUUCGCUCUUCUUCAGCUUCAGGAAGAUUAGAGACUCAACAUGUACACAGCAUCCUCUCAGAACUGAGUGGUUUAGGGGAGAGGACAAGAAACACAUCUGGGCUGGGAUAUCGGGAUGAGAAAGCAGAUGAUUCUUCAGUACCAAGACAACUGACUGACAGCGAGGAUGGAAAAGAACAGCCUGAUUGGUUGGUGAAAGAGCUGCUCAAACAGAGCAGACGAAGACACUCUGUCACACUCGGAGAUAAAGAGAAAAUCACGAGACAGCAAUAUCACCUUAUCAAUUCAACUUACAACCUCAAGAUUGAUGAGAAAAUAUCACUUGAG